UGACCUCGGAUCAGGUAGGGAUACCCGCUGAACUUAAGCAUAUCAAAAGGCCGGAGGAA
rnacentral:rRNA from 1 species